GACGAACCGUACGAACGUUAUUCGGAAUCACUGGGCUUAAAGGGUGCGUAGGCGGCGCAGAAAGUUGGGUGUGAAAUCCCUCGGCUCAACCGAGGAACUGCGCCCAAAACUACUGUGCUCGAGGGAGACAGAGGUGAGCGGAACUUAGGGUGGAGCGGUGAAAUGCGUUGAUAUCCUAAGGAACACCGGUGGCGAAAGCGGCUCACUGGGUCUCUUCUGACGCUGAGGAGCGAAAGCGUGGGGAGCGAACAGG
rnacentral:rRNA from 1 species